rnacentral:lncRNA from 1 species
UGUAAAUGAUAUAAAUACAGAUAAACAUUUAGCUCUUUGAAAACUGCUUCUAAUUUAACAUCACAAGUGCUUCCCAGUAAUUUAAAUAAUUAUUGUUAUAUUCAUUUAAAACUUAUCACAUUUAUGUGUGUGUGUGCCACAGUGUACGUAUGGAGGUCCGAGGACACCUUCUGGGAGUAUGGAUUCUCUACUCCCAUUGUGGAAGAGUCCCAGAGAAGGGACUAAGGUCACCACGCUUGCUGACAGGUACUUUUCACCCCUGAGCCAGUCUCUAUUAUACCCACUUCAAAGAUGAAAAUUUCUCAGUGGCAUCAGGGACAAGAACAAGACAAACACCUUGGUCACAACUUUAGAGCAACAGAAAGUCCAAAAGUCUUAGAGGCCCUCUGCACAAGACAGAGAGUAAGCAAGCACCAACCAACAGUUGGGAGAAGAUACAACUGGUUCGGGGCAUACAGAAUCUCAGGAAAGCAACAAUCUUCCUGCCCCAGUGAAACCCGCAGUGUCGUUGGCGGAGGGAAGAAAGAGAAGAGAAAAGGUACAUCAUGUAACAUCAGUAUCGAUCAGCAGUAUUAAAAAGUGGAACAAACGCUGUGGAGAAACGGCUGACUGUGACUCAAGCCAGAAAUAGACAAGAAAGGUUCAAAACAUCUCGAGUGCCAGAAAAUAAGGAAGUGCUCAAAACUAAAAGAGAAGGGGGGAAGAAAAUUGACGGGAGCACGCCAGAGGAACUCAGGAUGAAGUGAAGAGCCUGCAGUGGGGAGAUCUAGAAGCAUCGGAGCCAUAAAGUAAGGAAGCCUCAAUCAACCCAAGGUGCGCGGUAAAUAACCAAGACUCUAUCUACGCCGACAUAGAGAUGGCUGGAUAAGCAGGGAAACCUCUAGUGAAGAAUUCCAAAUAACUUGUAUAGAUAAUGCCCUGUAAGGGGGUGGAGCCCUGGCUCUCAGGCAUGGGCCACACCUAGUGAUGCUUUCAAAGACUUAAGGACAGAAAGGGUGGGGAAAGAAGAGGAUGGAGAAUAUUACUCUGUCAUCAGCAUCCAAACAAAAGUCUCACCGUGAGAAAAACAGGCAAAUCCCAGAGAUAACCUUUUUAUAAAAUGCCUGACUGAAAAGACAUCCUAGUAGCUAAUUCCACAGCAAUGCUCAGUAGCCAGAGAUAGCCUUUUUAUAAAAUGCCUGACUGGAAAGACAUCCCAGUAGCUAAUUCCACAGCAAUGCUCAGUAGCCAGAGAUAGCCUUUUUAUAAAAUGCCUGACUGGAAAGACAUUCCAGUAGCUAAUUCCACAGCGAUGCUCAGUAGCUAAGGGCACUUGCUCUUGCAGAUGAUCUGAGUUUGAUUCCCAGCAAUCGCAUAGCGGCUCACGACCAUCCAUAACUCUAGUUCCAGAGGACCCAGUGUGACAGAUACUGGCACAUCCAGGUUGAUAGACUACUGUUCACAAUGGCCACAUUCUGGAGUCAUCCCAGGUGUCCAUCAACAAACGAAUUUGUGAAACGAAUGUGGUGUGCAUGUACAACAAGGAAUUUCAUUCCGCUAUAAAGAACAAAGGUAUGUGGUGGCGUGGUGGGGGGGU